GACGGAGGAUGCAAGCGUUAUCCGGAAUUAUUGGGCGUAAAGCGUCCGCAGGUGGCUGUUCAAGUCUGCUGUACAAAGCGCAGAGCUUAACUCUGUACAGGCGGUGGAAACUGAAGAGCUAGAGUAUGGUAGGGGUAGAGGGAAUUCCCGGUGUAGCGGUGAAAUGCGUAGAUAUCGGGGAAGAACACCAGUGGCGAAAGCGCUCUACUGGGCCAUAACUGACACUGAGGGAGCGAAAGCUAGGGGAGCGAAAGGG
rnacentral:rRNA from 1 species